rnacentral:rRNA from 1 species
AACGAACGCUGGCGGCAUGCCUAACACAUGCAAGUCGAACGAGACCUUCGGGUCUAGUGUCGCACGGGUGCGUAACGCGUGGGAACCUGCCCCUAGGUUCGGAAUAACUCCCCGAAAGGGGUGCCAAUACCGGAUAAUGUCUUCUGACCAAAGAUUUAUCGCCUUUGGUUGGGCCCGCAUUGGAUUAGCUAGUUGGUAGGGUAAAUGCCUACCAAGGCGACGAUCCAUAUCUGGUCUGAGAGGAUGAUCAGCCACACUGGGACUGAGACACGGCCCAGACUCCCAUGGGAGGCAGAAGUGGGGAAUAUACGACAGUGUGCGUACGCCUGAUCCUGCAACAGCGCGUAAGAGAUGCAGGCCUGUGGGAUGUAAGGCUCUUUGAUGCGAGAGGAGAGUGACAGUAACGGGGAAAUAAGCUCCGGCUAACUCCGUG